UAAAAAAAAGCCCUGUAACUACGCAUCACAGGGUCCUUCAAUUAAGCUCAUGCAAUCUCAGUAUAGACUGCAUUGUUGCUUACGAAGGCAAAGGGAGAGGAGAAACCGGAGGAAGAACUUAUGGGGAAACGUAAGCCUUCUCCGCGG
rfam:Bacillus sp. SGD-V-76 genomic scaffold Scaffold1, whole genome shotgun sequence.